rnacentral:rRNA from 1 species
GAUGAACGCUGGCGGCGUGCCUAAUACAUGCAAGUCGAGCGAACGGACGAGAAGCUUGCUUCUCUGAUGUUAGCGGCGGACGGGUGAGUAACACGUGGAUAACCUACCUAUAAGACUGGGAUAACUUCGGGAAACCGGAGCUAAUACCGGAUAAUAUUUUGAACCGCAUGGUUCAAAAGUGAAAGACGGUCUUGCUGUCACUUAUAGAUGGAUCCGCGCUGCAUUAGCUAGUUGGUAAGGUAACGGCUUACCAAGGCAACGAUGCAUAGCCGACCUGAGAGGGUGAUCGCCCACACUGGAACUGGAACGCGGUCCAGACUCCUACGGGAGGCAGCAGUAGGGAAUCUUACGCAAUGGGCGAAAGCCUGACGGAGCAACGCCGCGUGAGUGAUGAAAGUCUUCGGAUCGUAAAACUCUGUUAUUAGGGAAGAACAUAUGUGUAAGUAACUGUGCACAUCUUGACGGUACCUAAUCAGAAAGCCACGGCUAACUACGUG